AUUUCCCGAUUUUCCACUCUCGACCCCUUAGCGAACUUCAUGCAAUAUCCGACAAUCCGUUCAUCGGAUUUCCGAACGGAUUGCACCAUCGCGUUCAGCACGACGAGGGCAUCAAAACUACCAUCUUGUUUCGUCAAAUUUGGUCACGGAUUCGCGACGGAACCCAUCCGCUCUCUAAUUUCGUAUAUCGCACAUAUGCCAAAGUAUAAACCCUAAAACCUUUAAUUCAAAUUCAAAUUUGAAUUCCCUACCACUAGUAGGUACCAAAAAUAACUCUCACCUAACCCCAGGUCACAAGCACAGAGCACGAGGAGUCUUAAAAAUGCAUGCAUAGCAAAGAGCGAAAACUCUCUUUUUGUUAAAACUCUUUUUUCUCGAAAACCGUGCAUCGGAUCUGAAAUCCGUCAGUGCCAUUGGUUCCAGAAUGGCUGAACCGGUCGAAACAAGCUAUUGGAUUGCUAUGAACGGAGUCUGAUACGCGCCGAAAGUGAACUCUACUCCGUGGCUUCACCGAAAAACCGGGUUACCAUUCACUUUAAGUGAAAACUAAUAAUCGCGUAACUUCUCCAUUCUAGCUCAUUUUCUUCUGAAACUUGACGAGUGCUUAUGUAAUUAAAUUACACACAUAAACAUCAUCAACAGAGAGUUUAUUUGCACUGUCAAAAUCUCAGUCCUUACAUUAACUAGCCAUGUUUUAACGACCUUUUAAAAAUUUUCCGUAGAUAUAUUAAAUAAAGAGG
rnacentral:lncRNA from 1 species